rnacentral:lncRNA from 1 species
UGAGUUAAUUGCAAAACGAAAACUGAUUAUUGGUCUUAUGCUGGAGAAAGUUCAAGAUUUUCUUAGAGAUAAGUUGUGUAACUUUGAUUUGCAGGGUGGUGGACAAAAUAGGCAAGCGCAGACGGUAAAAGGUUCUAUUACAGAGGGGAAGCAACCGAUAUAAUGGAUGUUGUGUCGUUGCUUGAAGGGCUAAAACUCUUGUUUGCGUUAUAAGAAAGGAACACAGAAUAAAGUAAAGAUCCAAGUCUUGACCACGUUCUCUUCAAUUGGAAAAUUCAUCAUAUAAGAGAUGGUUUGUCCCAGUUUUUUGUCUACAAAUGCGUACAAUUUGUAAUAUACUCCCGUACUUAUUCUUUUAUACGUGUCAUGAAGUUGUCACAGUUUGCUAUAUGGUCUUUAUGUGCGCUGUUUUGGUAUGUGUGUAAUUAAGAAAAAUUUCUACCAAGUCCCCAAGGAUUUCAAGAACUGGGAUAAGCUGAAAAUGUGAGCUUUGAUGUGAUUGUCAAGCAUCGGACUGUACUAGACCGC